GGGGGUUUAGUAUAAUGGUAGUGCUACAGUCUCCAAAACUGCAAGUAAGGGUUCGAUUCCUUUAACCCCCGCCA
rnacentral:tRNA from 1 species